rnacentral:rRNA from 1 species
UACGUAGGGGGCAAGCGUUGUCCGGAUUUAUUGGGCGUAAAGAGCUCGUAGGUGGUUCGGUAAGUCGGGUGUUAAACCCCCAGGCUCAACCUGGGGACGCCACUCGAUACUGCUGUGACUAGAGUCCGGUAGGGGAGCGUGGAAUUCCUGGUGUAGCGGUGAAAUGCGCAGAUAUCAGGAGGAACACCUAUGGCGAAGGCAGCUCGCUGGGACGGUACUGACGCUGAGGCGCGAAAGCGUGGGGAGCGAACAGG